UGUCUCUGCUGAUUAUCUGCACUGGGCUCAGAUCCUCCAUGGUGAUGAACGUGCAACUCUGCUCUUUGACAUGGUGGAGUCUGAAGAGACG